UUCCGGUUGAUCCUGCCGGACCUGACUGCUAUCGGAUUGAUACUAAGCCAUGUGAGUCAUUGUAGUAAUACAAGGCAGACGGCUCAGUAACACGUAGUCAAUCUACCCUAUGGACGGGGAUAACCUCGGGAAACUGAGGAUAACACCCGAUAGAUCAUAAUGCCUGGAACGGUUUAUGGUCCAAAUGAUUCGUCGCCGUAGGAUGGGACUGCGGCCUAUCAGCUUGUGGUGAGGUAAUGGCCCACCAAGGCUAUUACAGGUACGGGCUCUGAGAGGAGAAGCCCGGAGAUGGGUACUGAGACACGGACCCAGGCCCUAUGGGGCGCAGCAGGCGAGAAAACUUUGCAAUGUGCGCAAGCACGACAAGGUUAAUCCGAGUGUUUCCUGCUAAAGGAAUCUUUUGUUAGUUAUAACACCACUAACGAAUAAGGGGUGGGCAAGUUCUGGUGUCAGCCGCCGCGGUAAAACCAGCACCUCAAGUGGUAGGAGGAUUAUUGGGCCUAAAGCAUCCGUAGCCUGUUCUAUAAGUUUCCGGUUAAAUCCAUUAGCUCAACUAAUGGGCCGCCGAAAAUACUGUAGAACUAGGGAGUGGGAGAGGUAGACGGUAUUCGGUAGGAAGGGGUAAAAUCCUUUGAUCUAUUGAGGACCACCUGUGGCGAAGGCGGUCUACCAGAACACGUUCGACGGUGAGGGAUGAAAGCUGGGGGAGCAAACCGGAUUAGAUACCCGGGUAGUCCCAGCUUAAACGAUGCAGACUCGGUGAUGCGCUGGCUUGUGGCCAGUGCAGUGCCGCAGGGAAGCCGUUAAGUUUGCCGCCUGGGAAGUACGUACGCAAGUAUGAAACUUAAAGGAAUUGGCGGGGGAGCACCACAAGGGGUGAAGCCUGCGGUUCAAUUGGAGUCAACGCCGGG
rnacentral:rRNA from 1 species